AUACGGAGGGUGCAAGCGUUACUCGGAAUCACUGGGCGUAAAGCGCGCGCAGGCGGCUAUUUAAGUUGGAUGUGAAAGCCUACGGCUCAACCGUAGAACUGCAUCCAAAACUAUUUAGCUAGAGUGUGGGAGAGGAAGAUGGAAUUAGUUGUGUAGGGGUAAAAUCCGUAGAGAUAACUAGGAAUACCAAAAGCGAAGGCAAUCUGCUGGAACACUACUGACGCUGAGGCGCGAAAGCGUGGGGAGCAAACAGGAUUAGAAACCCUAGUAGUCC
rnacentral:rRNA from 1 species